rnacentral:hammerhead_ribozyme from 1 species
AUCCAGUUGAUGAACCGCAAAUAGGACGAAACAUGCGUCCUGGAU